rnacentral:lncRNA from 1 species
GGUUAAGACACUGGAGAUGGAGGUGGUCAAGGAGAAGGCGGUGUGCUCCAAAGACAAGGACAGCCUGCUGGCAGGAAAGCGGCAGGCGGAAAUGCAGCAGGAGGCCUGUGGCAAAGCGCGAGAGCAGCAAAAGCAGGACCAGCAGGUGACCGAGGAGCAACUGCGCAAGGUGCAGUCCCUGUGCCUCCCACUGGACCAGGAGAAGUUCCAGGCGGACGUGCUGAACGUGUGGCGGGAUUCGCUGGUCUACCGUUCCCUGGAUAAUAUAGGCUACCACUACUCGCUGAUGCCGGAGUUCUCGUCCCUCCGCCGAACAUGCGAGAGCCUGCCCGGGAUCAUGACCACCAAGGUAGAAGAGCUGGCGCGCGGGUUGCGCGCGGGCAUUGAGCGCGUGACCCGUGAAAAUGGAGAGCUGCGACGCCAGAAGCUGGAGCUGGAGCGCGCGAUACAGGGCGAGCGGGAGGCGCGGACGCGCGCCGGGACCGAGGCGCAGGCUCGAGAGACCCAGCUACGGACGGAGUGCGCGCGCCAGACACAGCUGGCUCUGGAGGAGAAGGCAGCGCUGCGGACACAGCGGGACGACCUGGAGCGCCAGCUGGAGGCGCGGAAGCGGGAGCUGGAGCAACUGCGCACCGAGGUGGAUGUGCGCAUUAGCGCUCUGGACACCUGCGUCAAGGCCAAGUCGCUGCCAGCCAUCCAGCCGAGACUCCCAGGUCCACCCCCCAACCCUCCACCCAUUGAUCCAGCUAGCCUGGAGGAAUUCAAGAAAAGGAUCCUAGAGUCGCAGCGGCCCCCUCUAGUCAACCCUGCUGUCCCACCCAGGUGAGA